rnacentral:rRNA from 1 species
GACGAACGCUGGCGGCGUGCUUAACACAUGUAAGUCGAACGGAAAGGCCCUGCUUUUGUGGGGUGCUCGAGUGGCGAACGGGUGAGUAACACGUGAGUAACCUGCCCUUGACUUUGGGAUAACUUCAGGAAACUGGGGCUAAUACCGGAUAGGAGCUCCUGCUGCAUGGUGGGGGUUGGAAAGUUUCGGCGGUUGGGGAUGGACUCGCGGCUUAUCAGCUUGUUGGUGGGGUAGUGGCUUACCAAGGCUUUGACGGGUAGCCGGCCUGAGAGGGUGACCGGCCACAUGGGGACUGAGAGACGGCCCAGACUCCUACGGGAGGCAGCAGUGGGGAAUAUUGCACAAUGGGCGGAAGCCUGAUGCAGCAACGCCGCGUGCGGGAUGACGGCCUUCGGGUUGUAAACCGCUUUCGCCUGUGACGAAGCGUGAGUGACGGUAAUGGGUAAAGAAGCACCGGCUAACUACGUG